AGAGUUUGAUCAUGGCUCAGAAUGAACGUUGGCGGCGUGGAUUAGGCAUGCAAGUCGUACGAGAAUCGUAGCAAUACGAGGAAAGUGGCGAAAGGGAGAGGAUUACGUGGGAAUCUACCCUCAGACCUGGGAUAGCGGCGGGAAACUGCCGGUAAUACCAGAUAAUGUCUUUGGACCAAAGGUGUGAUUCCGUCUGGGGAUGAGCCCACGUCCUAUUAGCUUGUUGGUGGGGUAAUGGCCUACCAAGGCAAUGAUGGGUAGCGGGUGUGAGAGCACGACCCGCCUCACUGGGACUGAGAUACUGCCCAGACACCUACGGGUGGCUGCAGUCGAGAAUCUUCGGCAAUGGGCGAAAGCCUGACCGAGCGACGCCGCGUGCGGGAUUGAAGGCCUUCGGGUUGUAAACCGCUGUCGUAGGGGAGCAAGAGAAGAGGGUUCUCCCUCUAAUUUGAGCGAUCCUAGGAGGAAGGACGGGCUAAGUUCGUGCCAGCAGCCGCGGUAAGACGAACCGUCCGAACGUUAUUCGGUAUCACUGGGCUUAAAGAGUUCGUAGGCGGCUCCGUAGGUGAGGUGUGAAAUCCCUCGGCUCAACCGAGGAAUUGCGCUUCAAACCGUGGAGCUAGAGGAAGAUAGGGGUGAGCGGAACAGAUGGUGGAGCGGUGAAAUGCGUUGAUAUCAUCUGGAACACCGGUGGCGAAAGCGGCUCGCUGGAUCUUUUCUGACGCUGAGGAACGAAAGCUAGGGGAGCGAACGGGAUUAGAUACCCCGGUAGUCCUAGCCGUAAACGAUGAGCACUAGUCUGUGGGGACCCUCACAUCCUCUCGGACGUAGCGAAAGUGUUAAGUGCUC
rnacentral:rRNA from 1 species